rnacentral:tRNA from 18 species
GCACCCGUAGCUCAGCUGGAUAGAGUACCGCCCUCCGAAGGCGGGGGUCACAGGUUCGAAUCCUGUCGGGUGCGCCA